rnacentral:tRNA from 1 species
UUAUAAAGUGGCUGAAUAAUAGGCGUUAGUUUGUAAAACUAGUUAUGGGGAUUUCCUCCUUUAUAAG